AUUGAACGCUGGCGGCAGGCCUAACACAUGCAAGUCGAACGGUAACAGGAAGCAGCUUGCUGCUUCGCUGACGAGUGGCGGACGGGUGAGUAAUGUCUGGGAAGCUGCCUGAUGGAGGGGGAUAACUACUGGAAACGGUAGCUAAUACCGCAUAAUGUCGCAAGACCAAAGAGGGGGACCUUCGGGCCUCUUGCCAUCGGAUGUGCCCAGAUGGGAUCAGCUUGUUGGUGGGGUAACGGCUCACCAAGGCGACGAUCCCUAGCUGGUCUGAGAGGAUGACCAGCCACACUGGAACUGAGACACGGUCCAGACUCCUACGGGAGGCAGCAGUGGGGAAUAUUGCACAAUGGGCGCAAGCCUGAUGCAGCCAUGCCGCGUGUAUGAAGAAGGCCUUCGGGUUGUAAAGUACUUUCAGCGGGGAGGAAGGGAGUAAAGUUAAUACCUUUGCUCAUUGACGUUACCCGCAGAAGAAGCACCGGCUAACUCCGUG
rnacentral:rRNA from 1 species